AAGCCGAGCGGUAUUUGUUCUUCGGAACAGAGAGAGCGGCGCACGGGUGCGGAACACGUGUGCAACCUGCCUUUAUCUGGGGGAUAGCCUUUCGAAAGGAAGAUUAAUACCCCAUAAUAUAUUGAGUGGCAUCACUUAAUAUUGAAAACUCCGGUGGAUAGAGAUGGGCACGCGCAAGAUUAGAUAGUUGGUGAGGUAACGGCUCACCAAGUCAAUGAUCUUUAGGGGGCCUGAGAGGGUGAUCCCCCACACUGGUACUGAGACACGGACCAGACUCCUACGGGAGGCAGCAGUGAGGAAUAUUGGACAAUGGGUUAGCGCCUGAUCCAGCCAUCCCGCGUGAAGGACGACGGCCCUAUGGGUUGUAAACUUCUUUUGUAUAGGGAUAAACCUACUCUCGUGAGAGUAGCUGAAGGUACUAUACGAAUAAGCACCGGCUAACUCCGUGCCAGCAGCCGCGGUAAUACGGAGGGUGCAAGCGUUAUCCGGAUUUAUUGGGUUUAAAGGGUCCGUAGGCGGAUCUGUAAGUCAGUGGUGAAAUCUCACAGCUUAACUGUGAAACUGCCAUUGAUACUGCAGGUCUUGAGUAAAUUUGAAGUGGCUGGAAUAAGUAGUGUAGCGGUGAAAUGCAUAGAUAUUACUUAGAACACCAAUUGCGAAGGCAGGUCACUAAGAUUUAACUGACGCUGAUGGACGAAAGCGUGGGGAGCGAACAGGAUUAGAUACCCUGGUAGUCCACGCCGUAACGAUGCUAACUCGUUCUUGGGGUUUCCGGCUUCAGAGACUAAGCGAAAGUGAUAAGUUAGCCACCUGGGGAGUACGUUCGCAAGAAUGAAACUCAAAGGAAUUGACCGGG
rnacentral:rRNA from 1 species